rnacentral:rRNA from 1 species
CUACGGGAUGCUGCAGUGAGGAAUAUUGGUCAAUGGGCGCAAGCCUGAACCAGCCAUCCCGCGUGCAGGAUGACGGCCCUAUGGGUUGUAAACUGCUUUUGUUUGCCAAGAAUGGCCACUACGUGUAGUGGUUUGACGGCAGCAGAUGAAUAAGGACCGGCUAACUCCGUGCCAGCAGCCGCGGUAAUACGGAGGGUCCAAGCGUUAUCCGGAUUCAUUGGGUUUAAAGGGUGCGCAGGCGGGCCUUUAAGUCAGUGGUGAAAUCUUGCCGCUUAACGGUAAAAUUGCCAUUGAUACUGAAGGUCUUGAAUAUAGUUGAGGUAGGCGGAAUGUGUUGUGUAGCGGUGAAAUGCAUAGAUAUGACACAGAACGCCGAUUGCGAAGGCAGCUUACUAAGCUAUGAUUGACGCUGAGGCACGAAAGCGUGGGGAGCGAACAGGAUUAGAUACCCGCGUAGUC